rnacentral:rRNA from 1 species
AUGCUCCUCGCGAAAAUAUUAAGGAAAACAAGAAGAGAUCCAGAGAUACUCUUUCAUGUGGCAUUUGGAGUAGGCAUGGGACGUUUGAUAAGAGCAUCAUUAAGCAGGCGAUCUUCAUCGAUCAUCGGAUUCAGUGGGCCACAAUUUAUCCCAGGAAAAGGAAAAUGGGAUUUUCGUUGGCACAAAGUACCAUAUCGUCAUAAUCUACAAAAAAAAGGAAUAGAAAGUUUUGACACGAAGUACCAUGUCAUAAUCUCAUCUCAGAUCUCAACUGACCCUCUUUUGCUUUCUGAUAUGAAGUGCACUUCUUGA